rnacentral:rRNA from 1 species
GGGGGGGGGGGGGGGGGGGGGGGGGGGGGGGGGGGGGGGGGGGGGGGGCCGGCGGGGGUGGGGGGCGCGGGGGGCGAGCGGGUGAGGAACACGGGAGGAACCGGCCCUGGACUUUGGGAUACCUUCAGGAAACUGGGGCUAAUACCGGAUAGGAGCUCCGGCUGCCUUGGGGGGGGCGGAGAGUUUCGGCGGUUUGGGAUGGACUCGCGGCUGAUCAGCUCGUUGGUGGGGGAGUGGCUGACCAACGCUUUGACGGGUAGCCGGCCUGAGAGGGUGACGGGCCACAUGGGGACUGAGAGACGGCCCAGACUCAGACGGGAGGCAGCAGUGGGGAAUAUUGCACAAGGGGCGGAAGCCUGAUGCAGAAACGCCGGGUGCGGGAGGACGGCCUUCGGGUUGUAAACCGCUUUCGCCUGUGACGAAGCGUGAGUGACGGUAAUGGGUAAAGAAGCACCGGCUAACUACGU